rnacentral:lncRNA from 1 species
AAGACGCAAAUUUCAGGCCGUGGAUGAUCAUUGAAAGGAAAUCAAGGUGGAAUUUUAGAGAGAAUGUGCAGAAUUCAUUAGGUAACCAAGAGAGUGAAAAUGAAUGAUCUCGUUUUAGGGUCCUAAAUAAUAGGGAUUUGCACAAAGAUGAUUAUGAGGGAGAUUUGUCUGAUUCUCAGCGUGCUAAAGGGAAAGAAAUCAUAAAUGGAAAUCUUCUCAGGAAAGAAUCUGUUUCUCAUCAUAACGGUCAAAUAGAUCUAAGUAAAAAAAAAAAAUAGUAAUAAAGGUAAGUUAAAAGAGGUAGGCUCUAUUAUUGAUCUUGGCCCGAUUAUUAAAGCGGCAGUUGGGCCAAAUGUGGGUCCAGAUUGACUCUCAACGGCAUAAAUGAAAACUCACCGGUUACUAAGGAGCCGUUCAACUGCUUGGGCCUUGGGGAUAAUUCUGAUAGUCAGGCCUGGGGUUUGCUGGAUCAGCUUGGUCCGGUUUCAGUGGCCCAGCAUAACCCUGUUGCUGUUGGUAGUUGCAGUCGACCCCUUGCAGCGGCCACAUUGUAAAGCGACACUAGCGCGAAGAUGGGUCUUCUCGAAGAUUGAUGGGUGUGACAGAAAUGAAGUGGUUGUGGAAGUGGAAAGUCUUGAAAACCCUUUUAACAAAAACGGUGCUCCUUCUUCGAAAAACACCUUGGGUCUGUCUCCGAUGGGUUUCUCCG